CUGGCUCAGGAUGAACGCUAGCUACAGGCUUAACACAUGCAAGUCGAGGGGAAACGACAUCGAAAGCUUGCUUUUGAUGGGCGUCGACCGGCGCACGGGUGAGUAACGCGUAUCCAACCUGCCCACCACUUGGGGAUAACCUUGCGAAAGUAAGACUAAUACCCAAUGACGUCUCUAGAAGACAUCUGAAAGAGAUUAAAGAUUUAUCGGUGAUGGAUGGGGAUGCGUCUGAUUAGCUUGUUGGCGGGGUAACGGCCCACCAAGGCAACGAUCAGUAGGGGUUCUGAGAGGAAGGUCCCCCACAUUGGAACUGAGACACGGUCCAAACUCCUACGGGAGGCAGCAGUGAGGAAUAUUGGUCAAUGGACGAGAGUCUGAACCAGCCAAGUAGCGUGCAGGAUGACGGCCCUAUGGGUUGUAAACUGCUUUUAUAAGGGAAUAAAGUGAGUCUCGUGAGGCUUUUUGCAUGUACCUUAUGAAUAAGGACCGGCUAAUUCCGUGCCAGCAGCCGCGGUAAUACGGAAGGUCCGGGCGUUAUCCGGAUUUAUCGGGUUUAAAGGGAGCGUAGGCCGGAGAUUAAGCGUGUUGUGAAAUGUAGACGCUCAACGUCUGCACUGCAGCGCGAACUGGUUUCCUUGAGUACGCACAAAGUGGGCGGAAUUCGUGGUGUAGCGGUGAAAUGCUUAGAUAUCACGAAGAACUCCGAUUGCGAAGGCAGCUCACUGGAGCGCAACUGACGCUGAAGCUCGAAAGUGCGGGUAUCGAACAGGAUUAGAUACCCUGGUAGUCCGCACGGUAAACGAUGGAUGCCCGCUGUUGGUCUGAAUAGGUCAGCGGCC
rnacentral:rRNA from 1 species